UGGGGAAUUUUGGACAAUGGGGGAAACCCUGAUCCAGCCAUCCCGCGUGUGCGAUGAAGGCCUUCGGGUUGUAAAGCACUUUUGGCAGGAAAGAAACGUCGCGGGUUAAUACCCCGCGAAACUGACGGUACCUGCAGAAUAAGCACCGGCUAACUACGUGCCAGCAGCCGCGGUAAUACGUAGGGUGCAAGCGUUAAUUGGAAUUACUGGGCGUAAAGCGUGCGCAGGCGGUUCGGAAAGAAAGAUGUGAAAUCCCAGAGCUUAACUUUGGAACUGCAUUUUUAACUACCGGGCUAGAGUGUGUCAGAGGGAGGUGGAAUUCCGCGUGUAGCAGUGAAAUGCGUAGAUAUGCGGAGGAACACCGAUGGCGAAGGCAGCCUCCUGGGAUAACACUGACGCUCAUGCACGAAAGCGUGGGGAGCAAACAGGAUUAGAUACCCUGGUAGUCCACGCCCUAAACGAUGUCAACUAGCUGUUGGGGCCUUCGGGCCUUGGUAGCGCAGCUAACGCGUGAAGUUGACCGCCUGGGGAGUACGGUCGCAAGAUUAAAACUCAAAGGAAUU
rnacentral:rRNA from 1 species